UUAGUACCCGGAGGAAGAGAAAGAAAAUUCGAUUCCCUUAGUAGCGGCGAGCGAAACGGGAAGAGCCCAAACCAACAAGCUUGCUUGUUGGGGUUGUAGGACACUCUAUACGGAGUUACAAAGGACGACAUUAGACGAAUCAUCUGGAAAGAUGAAUCAAAGAAGGUAAUAAUCCUGUAGUCGAAAAUGUUGUCUCUCUUGAGUGGAUCCUGAGUACGACGGAGCACGUGAAAUUCCGUCGGAAUCUGGGAGGACCAUCUCCUAAGGCUAAAUACUCUCUAGUGACCGAUAGUGAACCAGUACCGUGAGGGAAAGGUGAAAAGCACCCCGGAAGGGGAGUGAAAUAGAACCUGAAACCGUGUGCUUACAAGUAGUCAGAGCCCGUUAAUGGGUGAUGGCGUGCCUUUUGUAGAAUGAACCGGCGAGUUACGAUUUGAUGCAAGGUUAAGCAGUAAAUGUGGAGCCGUAGCGAAAGCGAGUCUGAAUAGGGCGUUUAGUAUUUGGUCGUAGACCCGAAACCAGGUGAUCUACCCUUGGUCAGGUUGAAGUUCAGGUAACACUGAAUGGAGGACCGAACCGACUUACGUUGAAAAGUGAGCGGAUGAACUGAGGGUAGCGGAGAAAUUCCAAUCGAACCUGGAGAUAGCUGGUUCUCUCCGAAAUAGCUUUAGGGCUAGCCUCAAGUGAUGAUUAUUGGAGGUAGAGCACUGUUUGGACGAGGGGCCCCUCUCGGGUUACCGAAUUCAGACAAACUCCGAAUGCCAAUUAAUUUAACUUGGGAGUCAGAACAUGGGUGAUAAGGUCCGUGUUCGAAAGGGAAACAGCCCAGACCACCAGCUAAGGUCCCAAAAUAUAUGUUAAGUGGAAAAGGAUGUGGCGUUGCCCAGACAACUAGGAUGUUGGCUUAGAAGCAGCCAUCAUUUAAAGAGUGCGUAAUAGCUCACUAGUCGAGUGACACUGCGCCGAAAAUGUACCGGGGCUAAACAUAUUACCGAAGCUGUGGAUUGUCCUUUGGACAAUGGUAGGAGAGCGUUCUAAGGGCGUUGAAGCAUGAUCGUAAGGACAUGUGGAGCGCUUAGAAGUGAGAAUGCCGGUGUGAGUAGCGAAAGACGGGUGAGAAUCCCGUCCACCGAUUGACUAAGGUUUCCAGAGGAAGGCUCGUCCGCUCUGGGUUAGUCGGGUCCUAAGCUGAGGCCGACAGGCGUAGGCGAUGGAUAACAGGUUGAUAUUCCUGUACCACCUAUAAUCGUUUUAAUCGAUGGGGGGACGCAGUAGGAUAGGCGAAGCGUGCG
rnacentral:rRNA from 1 species